AAUAGAUACCCUGGUAGUCCUAGCCGUAAACGAUGACCACCAGGUGUGGGAGGUAUCGACCCCUUCCGUGCCGGAGUUAACACACUAAGUGGUCCGCCUGGGGAGUACGGUCGCAAGAUUAAAACUCAAAGGAAUUGACGGGGGACCCGGCACAAGCAGCGGAGCGUGUGGUUUUAAUUCGAUGCGACGCGCAGAACCUUACCAGCCUUUGACAUCCCGGUCGCGGAUUAGAGAGAUCUUUUCCUUCAGUUCGGCUGGACCGGUGACAGGUGCUGCAUGGCUGUCGUCAGCUCGUGUCGUGAGAUGUUGGGUUAAGUCCCGCAACGAGCGCAACCCUCGUCCUUAGUUGCCAUCAUUUAGUUGGGCACUCUAAGGAAACCGCCGGUGAUAAGCCGGAGGAAGGUGGGGAUGACGUCAAGUCCUCAUGGCCCUUACAGGCUGGGCUACACACGUGCUACAAUGGACGGUACAAAGCGCUGCAAACCCGCGAGGGAGAGCUAAUCGCAAAAAACCGGUUCUCAGUUCGGAUUGCAGG
rnacentral:rRNA from 1 species